rnacentral:lncRNA from 1 species
UCCCACCAGCAGCUCCCUUCAGGCAACCAUCAACCGCCAUCAGCUUGUCAACAACCCACACCAAAUGUUCGAGAAUCCUCAAUUAACCAUCGACCUGGUCAUCGAUCAACAGUGAAUGGGUCACAACCUCCAUCAACUGGCCAACAGCAUCCACAACUGACAUCAGAGAAUCUAAAAUCUGCAGCUAAUCAUCAACCUGUACCAGGUGGCCGACGAAAUGUGGAAGGCCGAAAAUCAUCUUCAGGUAUUCUACAAUCAUGGGUAAGCCGUCAACUACAAUUAAAUCCUUUAAGGUCAACACCAGGUAACCUGCAUUUACCGUCAGAGUCCUCACAAUCAUCACAAGAUCAUAGCCAACAUUCAACAAUGGCUAAUCAAUCAUUGCCACAUGCUAGCUCACAACGGCUU